rnacentral:rRNA from 1 species
UACAGGGGGUGCAAACGUUGCUCGGAAUUAUUGGGCGUAAAGCGCGCGUAGGCGGCCGCUUAAGUCGGAUGUGAAAGCCCCUGGCUCAACUGGGGAAGUGCACCCGAAACUGAGUGGCUUGAGUACUAAAGAGGGUCGCGGAAUUCCCGGUGUAGAGGUGAAAUUCGUAGAUAUCGGGAGGAACACCGGUGGCGAAGGCGGCGACCUGGGUAGAUACUGACGCUGAGGCGCGAAAGCGUGGGGAGCAAACGGG